rnacentral:rRNA from 1 species
AUUGAACGCUGGCGGCAUGCCUUACACAUGCAAGUCGAACGGAAACAGGUCUUCGGAUGCUGACGAGUGGCGAACGGGUGCGUAAUACAUCGGAACGUGCCCGCUCGUGGGGGAUAACGAAGCGAAAGCUUUGCUAAUACCGCAUACGAUCUACGGAUGAAAGCAGGGGACCGCAAGGCCUUGCGCGAACGGAGCGGCCGAUGGCAGAUUAGCUAGUUGGUGGGAUAAAAGCUUACCAAGCCGACGAUUUGUAGCUGGUCUGAGAGGACGACCAGCCACACUGGGACUGAGACACGGCCCAGACUCCUACGGGAGGCAGCAGUGGGGAAUUUUGGACAAUGGGCGAAAGCCUGAUCCAGCCAUGCCGCGUGCAGGAUGAAGGCCUUCGGAUUGUAAAAUGCUUUUGUACGGAACGAAAAGACUCUGGUUAAUACCUGGGGUCCAUGACGGUACCGUAAGAAUAAGCACCGGCUAACUACGUG